GACGAACGCUGGCGGCGUGCUUAACACAUGCAAGUCGAACGGAAAGGCUCCAGCUUGCUGGAGUACUCGAGUGGCGAACGGGUGAGUAACACGUGGGUAAUCUGCCCUUCACUCUGGGAUAAGCCUUGGAAACUGGGUCUAAUACUGGAUAUGACCUUUCUCCUUAUGGGGUUUGGUGGAAAGUUUUUCGGUGUAGGAUGAGCCCGCGGCCUAUCAGCUUGUUGGUGGGGUGAUGGCUUACCAAGGCGACGACGGGUAGCCGGCCUGAGAGGGUGAUCGGCCACAUUGGGACUGAGAUACGGCCCAGACUCCUACGGGAGGCAGCAGUGGGGAAUAUUGCACAAUGGGCGGAAGCCUGAUGCAGCGACGCCGCGUGAGGGAUGACGGCCUUCGGGUUGUAAACCUCUUUCAGCAGGGACGAAGCGUAAGUGACGGUACCUGCAGAAGAAGCACCGGCUAACUAUGUG
rnacentral:rRNA from 1 species